rnacentral:rRNA from 1 species
UACAUGGGGUGCAAACGUUGCUCGGAAUUAUUGGGCGUAAAGCGCACGUAGGCGGUUUGUUAAGUCGGAUGUGAAAUCCCUCGGCUCAACUGAGGAAGUGCAUCCGAAACUGGCAAGCUUGAGCACGAAAGAGGGUCGCGGAAUUCCCGGUGUAGAGGUGAAAUUCGUAGAUAUCGGGAGGAACACCGGUGGCGAAGGCGGCGACCUGGGUCGAUACUGACGCUGAUGCGCGAAAGCGUGGGUAGCAAACAGG